UAUUCUGGUGUCCUAGGCGUA
rnacentral:siRNA from 1 species